CGAUACCGCAUGCAGUUAGACGGCCCUAUGGAUUGUAAACUGCUUUUAUACAGGAAGAAACCCCCGACGUGUCCGAACUUGACGGUACUGUAACAAUAAGGAUCGGCUAACUCCGUGCCAGCACCCCCGGUAAUACAGAGGAUCCAAGCGUUAUCCGAAAUCAUUGGGUUGAAAGGGUCCGUAGGCGGUUUAGUAAUUCAGUGGUGAAAUCCGAUCGCUCAACGAUGAAACGGCCAUUGAUACUGUUAGACUUGACUUAUCAGGAAGUAACUAGAAUAUGUAUUGUAGCGGGGAAAUGCUUAGAUAUUACAUGGAAUACCAAUUGCGAAGGCAGGUUACUACUUAUGGAUUGACGCUGAUGGACUAAAGCGUGGGUAGCGAACAGGAUUAGAUACCCUGGUAGUCCACGCCGUACACGAUGGAAACUAACUGUUGGGAGCAAUCUCAUUGGCUAAACGAAAGUGAUAAGUAUCCCACCUGGGGAGCACGUUCGCAAGAAUGACACUCAUAGGAAUUGACGG
rnacentral:rRNA from 1 species